rnacentral:rRNA from 1 species
UGUAUGGUUAAGUGACUAAGCGUACACGGUGGAUGCCUGGGCAGUCAGAGGCGAUGAAGGACGUACUAACUUGCGAUAAGCGCAGAUAAGGCAGUAAGAGCCGUUUGAGUCUGCGAUUUCCGAAUGGGGAAACCCAACUGCAUAAGCAGUUACUGUUAACUGAAUACAUAGGUUAACAGAGCAAACCGGGGGAACUGAAACAUCUAAGUACCCCGAGGAGAAGAAAUCAACCGAGAUUCCGGUAGUAGCGGCGAGCGAACCUGGAUUAGCCCUUAAGCACUCGGUGAAGUAGGUGAACAAGCUGGAAAGCUUGGCGAUACAGGGUGAUAGCCCCGUAACCGACGCUUCAUCGAGCGUGAAAUCGAGUAGGGCGGGAC